rnacentral:rRNA from 1 species
GCCUGGCCGCGGCCGCGGCCGCUUUCCGUGCUUGGGAUUGAAAAAAAAAACCUCCUCCUCCUCCGCCUCCGGAUCGAGAUCCAUACACACGUGCAGAGUUAAGGAAGCGGCUGGUCGCGACCUUAGGCCACCGGAGGAGGAGAAGUGCCCUGCAGAGAGAAGUGCUCGGUCAGAGGUUUGCGUUGGGGGAGCGGAGUGGUUCAGCGUUUGCCGCCGCCGCACACGCGGGAUGCACCGGGGUGGAGGCGGUGGCGAAGGCGGAGUGGCUGCACAGUCGUAGGGUAGGUGUCAUGGGCGGACCUGCUAACCGUUAAGGAGGAGGAUGAACGAACAGAAGCGGUGUUGAGAUGGUGGUUUGAGGCACGGGAGAAGCAGAGCGUCAUUCGAGGAUCGCGCGCUGGUACCGCCGCCGUCCAUGGGAUCAGCACAUGUCCCGCCACAAGCGGCGCGAACCGACGGAGUACCACCCGUGGGACCACAUGUGGACGUAGUGGCUGCCGAGCGGCAAAGCGUGGCUCGACGACUGGGGCACCUACCACUGUUGUGACCAACUAGAAAUACAUUUAUAUCGUCGCUAAAGCUGAACCCAACAGAUGUUCCUUCCUUUAACCUAAUGAAGAUAGAAGACCCAUCAUAACAACUAAACAAAGCCGUCACGGUGAUGUACACGAAUAUAACAAUCGUUCAAUAAACUCUAUUGUAGAAGUCCCGAAAGGGUUUUAGGCGAACUGGAAAACAACGAGUCCGUUUUAUUAGAUGGACUUUCCUUCACAAGAAAACAGCAGUAGCCUUCUUGAUAAAAGUCGUAAGACCCGUAUGAGUACCGACGUGAACAGUGCAUAUGACAGUAAUGUCUACCUGACGGAAAGUCCUUCCUAAACAACUGUGGCACCUACCGACGUUGGAAUUAACUGAAGAUAUAUUUACAAAAACGUUAUAGCCAUACCCAACAAGUGUCCCUCAGCUGAACCUAGAGUCGUCAGUAAACCUAUACGAACAACUAUACGAAGCCUUCGUAGUGUUGUACACCGAUGUAACACCAAGUUGAAGAGGUUCACAGUAUGGUUCUGGGUCAGAUGGUAGACGAUGACUUGAGGGUAUCGUUCAUACCUUAGCGUGGGAACGUCAUUAGCGGCUAGGAGAAGAUGAUAGGACCAAUCGAAUGUCAACCACAUUUAAGACGAGCUGUACGUUAGUAAGUACACCGUAAAUGGACUAACUUUACAUCCUUCUGGACUUUUGAGUAACUUCCCUAUACAAGAACCAUGUGUUAUUACAGGGGAGACAAGUAUUUCCACGGUGUUAUUUCCCAUAUGGUCUCAUCGUUAAUCUCUUCAAAAAAGAAACACCUUACCUUACUAAAGAAUUGCUUCAACUUCGAGGAACAAUACCACAGUUUCCACCAAAAGAUUAACAUAUAGUUUAAAUUAACGAACCGUCUACUAUCUGUUGUCUAAAAAGAAAAAAUGCUUAUACGUCUUCCGAAACACAUAGUGAAGUAACUGUCAGGCUCUCUUUCACGUCCACUAUGUUCUACGUAAUGUCCUCGUGCAUGUUCUUGCGCUGCACUCACAUGGUUCCGUUUUACCAUCUAUGGUAUAAAGCGAGCUCCUUUUUACUUUAUCCGUGUGGUUGUUCAUGAAUGGUGACCCGAUAUCGGAUCGUAAGAGAACAGUAUAACGAGACGGUUUUAUGACCUACGGUUUACUCGGUACAAACUCGAAACCGAACACCUCGAAAAUCCGGGGAUCUUCAUGUUUGGAUUUGUUUCUGUAUUAUACACCCGAAUCGAAUUUACUUCGGUAGAAUUUUUUUACGAGACUGUUCGUUUGGGGGGAGGUCUGGCCGAAGGG